GUACUACGUCCUGAUCGACACCGUGCACUGUAGGGUUGGUAUAUUAAAUUCGGGUCCAAAAACCAUUCUCCGGCCGAGAAUAGCAUUUCCAAUUAAAUACGUCGCUGUUUGGUGUCUUUUUUUGCACGCAACGCGCACUAAUGAGAUCGAAAACGUUCGACACGAUAAUAGGUAAUAAUAUUAUUGUUAUGUUGUAUGUAAUGAGCUUCACCAUUCAUAGGUUUUCGAAAAUGAAUAACCAAUGACGUUAAUAUCAC